UACCACUUGUCUACAGGGGAGAAAAACUCAGUAGACUACAAUAAUGAUGGGAAGUUUUAUUAUUAUUACUUUUUAAACUAUAUGUCCCCCUUUAAUAUAGCUUCUAUGUAGCCCUCAAGCUACAUGAAAAAUUAAGAAUAAAGAAGAUUCAUGGGUCAUCACAGACACCAUGGCUCUGUGUACCCAUGGUCACAGGACUUAAUGAAGGCCAACGGUGAGGACAAAGGUGGGCAAGCCCAGGCACAGCAAUGAGCUUCUGGGGUCACCAGCAAACACAUCAGGGCCAUGUGGGACAUGACCCUGCAAGUGUGUGGCUUUCCCCCUGGACCAGCAGAGGACGCAAGUUAACAAGAGGGCGGAGGGCUACACAGUGAGCCCAUCUCAGGACGGUGAUGGAGGAGGCGGGGCCAUGAAGACAGAGAGAGAGCACAUACUGGAUGAAGGGCCAGGACCUACUUGGCCUCACCAACAGAGGCAUGGAGAAGUUCCUUGUGCCUCAAGACCUGGACCCUGGAACCUGAAUCUGCUCACAAUGGACAAUGUCUUCUAGAGAUUCUGGCUACGCUAACUAGUUUCAUAACAGAGCUUCUCAGGGGGAAAAAAAUAAAAGUGCCGGGAACAAAACCCAGUAAGU